CUGCUGGAAAUGCCACGAGAUCUUCACCAGAAGCCCCCGGUGAUGGCUGUGAACCAGCGCUCCAGACAAGCUUCGCACAUAAUGCAAGGGGGAACAGUGACAAAAAGCGGCACUUCCCUCAGAUGCGCACACAUGGCUUUAUCGCGCCUGGACUGAUUAGCGGGAGGAGGAGGAGACGCAGAUUCCCUCCGUGUGUGCAGGAAUGUCCCCAACAAAGGUUCGCUGCGCAGCUGCUCCUGCUGCAAAAGCCCGGGAGGAGACCUGUGUUCCCACGGAAGAGGUCUCAGGAGGACAGCAGCUGGAUUCAGCUUCAAGAUCCCUCCCAAUCCUCAGCUAUCAUUUAAAGCGUUAAAAAUCCUUCUGCCCUGGCUCAGGCUCCAGAGGACUGAGAGCCCUUUGUGUGCAGUGCUGACACGGCAUCCUGGCCCGUGAAGGCAGGAUUGUACCGGGUCUGGGGGAGAAAAGGGGCAAUGAAUAAACCUCACUGUUUUCCCCCU